AACGCAUAUUGCGCCCUUUGGCAUUCCGAAGGGCAUGCCUGUUCGAGCGUCAUUACACCCCUCAAACCUCGCUGUUUGAUGUUGGGCAGUGCCUGUAGGCAUGCCUCAAAGCCAGCGACGGUUCCAGCCAACCUCAGACGUACAAGUAUCGUUAUAGGGGGCGGUCGGGGCCUGUCUCUUAACUAAACAUCUAAAUGUUGACCUCGGAUCAGGUGGGAAUACCCGCUGAACUUAA
rnacentral:misc_RNA from 1 species